rnacentral:pre_miRNA from 1 species
UUAACUGAAAUUUGUAUGCAGUUGAAACAGCGCCCCUAGCGGCAAACGUAGGCAAACGUUCCAACUCCAUACAAAUUUAAGUUA